GCCUGAUGCAGCCAUGCCGCGUGCAGGAUGACGGUCUUAUGGAUUGUAAACUGCUUUUAUACGAGAAAAAACACUGCUUCGUGAAGCAGCUUGACGGUAUCGUAAGAAUAAGGAUCGGCUAACUCCGUGCCAGCAGCCGCGGUAAUACGGACGAUCCAAGCGUUAUCCGGAAUCAUUGGGUUUAAAGGGUCCGUACGCGGUUUAAUAAGUCAGUGGUGAAAGCCCAUCGCUCAACGGUGGAACGGCCAUUGAUACUGUUAAACUUGAAUUAUUAGGAAGUAACUAGAAUAUGUAGUGUAGCGGUGAAAUGCUUAAAGAUUACAUGGAAUACCAAUUGCGAAGGCAGGUUACUACUAAUGGAUUGACGCUGAUGGACGAAAGCGUGGGUAGCGAACAGGAUUACAUACCCUGGUAGUCCACGCCGUAGACGAUGGAUACUACCUGUUGGAAGCAAUUUCAGUGGCUAAGCGAAAGUGAUAAGUAGCCCACCUGGGGAGUACGUUCGCAAGAAUGAAACUCAGAGGAAUUGACGGGGGCCCGCACAAGCGGUGGAACAUGUGGUUUAAUUCGAUGAUACGCGAGGAACCUUACCAAGGCUUAAAUGUAGAUUGACCGAUUUGGAAACAGAUCUGUC
rnacentral:rRNA from 1 species